CUCUAUUUUUCCCUUAUUACAAAACAUGCACUGCACCCCUUUCAUUUGUAUAAAGAAACUCUACACCCAACAUCUCAUUUGAAUUGCAUCUCUGAUCAUCUUUUCUCCUCCUUAAUAUUUUUUCUGUCCAUUCCAUUUGAAGUUUUCCUUUUCCAAUUGUGAGUGUUUUACUGUAGCUUGGAGUGGUGCUUCGGAGUGGUGUGGUGGUGCGUUCCUGGUGCGGUUGGAGUGCUUCGUGGUAGUGUCUGGGAUGCUUCUUCUUGCUGUUGUUGGUGGUUGCGUUGGUUGGUGGGAUAUUGUUGUUGCAUUGCUUCGAAAAAGAACCAGUAAAAUCCACGCACGUAUCGCUUAGUGGAAUUCACGUGUCAAGAGGGAGGCUCGACACUCAAAUGACGAACGCCAGGUGUCAAGCGAAGAGGAUCAGAAAUUCAGUUAGUGAAAAACAGGUGUCGACUGAAGAGGGGACGUUCGUUCUGACGCGCGGAGCAAAACUUGAAUUUUCAGAAAAAUCUACCCCACUCUCUGCAUGCACCCCUUUCCAGAUUUCUGAAAAAUCUCAUUCUCUCCUCCUUCUCUCUACGUCUUCUUCAUCUUCUCUCUGAGAAAAUACUCACUUUCUCUCCUCCGAUCAUUAUUCCGGCACCGUAGGAUCACUUCCGGCGUUCCAAGCUUUAGUUUGAUCCGAUUGGUUUCAAAUUCUGAACGGAGUCAUUGAGCGUUGAGGGUAGAAAGGAUCGUAGUUCAGCGAACUGAGUCCAAGUCUGGAAACGUUCGUUCACGUUCUGAGAAUGAUGGAGAGACUCUUUUCUUGCCGGUGUCUAUGGAGACUGUGCCGGUAAACUGGUGGAUGAGGAGUAAGAGAGUAUAACUCAAUAAAUCACUUGUCUUCCAAAAUUUCUUAAUCUUCUCCGUUAGUUGGUUCUUAGUGUGUGCUUACAUUGUUGUAUGAUGUGUGCCUAAGAAGCAAUGAAAGAAAAAAAUAAAGGAAGAGGAAAGCUAGAGGAAGUCGUGCUCUGUGCAAAAGAAAAAGAGAAGAAGGGGAAAGCAAAAGGAAGGAAGAAAUGAUAUCUGAGAACCACUGACAACUG